UGACCGCUGGCGGCGUGCCUACUACAUGCAAGUCGAGCGAACGGACGAGAAGCUUGCUUCUCUGAUGUUAGCGGCGGACGGGUGAGUAACACGUGGAUAACCUACCUAUAAGACUGGGAUAACUUCGGGAAACCGGAGCUAAUACCGGAUAAUAUUUUGAACCGCAUGGUUCAAAAGUGAAAGACGGUCUUGCUGUCACUUAUAGAUGGAUCCGCGCUGCAUUAGCUAGUUGGUAAGGUAACGGCUUACCAAGGCAACGAUGCAUAGCCGACCUGAGAGGGUGAUCGGCCACACUGGAACUGAGACACGGUCCAGACUCCUACGGGAGGCAGCAGUAGGGAAUCUUCCGCAAUGGGCGAAAGCCUGACGGAGCAACGCCGCGUGAGUGAUGAAGGUCUUCGGAUCGUAAAACUCUGUUAUUAGGGAAGAACAUAUGUGUAAGUAACUGUGCACAUCUUGACGGUACCUAAUCAGAAAGCCACGGCUAACUACGU
rnacentral:rRNA from 1 species